rnacentral:rRNA from 1 species
GGCCUAACACAUGCAAGUCGAACGCCCCGCAAGGGGAGUGGCAGACGGGUGAGUAACGCGUGGGAAUCUACCUAGUUCUACGGAACAACAGUUGGAAACGACUGCUAAUACCGUAUACGCCCUACGGGGGAAAGAUUUAUCGGAAUUAGAUGAGCCCGCGUAAGAUUAGCUAGUUGGUGGGGUAAUGGCCUACCAAGGCGACGAUCUUUAGCUGGUCUGAGAGGAUGAUCAGCCACACUGGGACUGAGACACGGCCCAGACUCCUACGGGAGGCAGCAGUGGGGAAUAUUGGACAAUGGGCGCAAGCCUGAUCCAGCCAUGCCGCGUGAGUGAUGAAGGCCUUAGGGUUGUAAAGCUCUUUCAGUGGGGAAGAUAAUGACGGUACCCACAGAAGAAGCCCCGGCUAACUUCGUGCCAGCAGCCGCGGUAAUACGAAGGGGGCUAGCGUUG